UGUAGGGCAAUGGGAUGUUACUGGUGGUGUGGAGCACAUUUGGCGCACAGGGAGAUGUGAGGAACUAAAAAAAACCUGUAUCUCUGAAUGUCCUGGAACGCAGCUCUCUUGGAAAGCUUGUCCUUCCACAAGCACUCAUCUCAUUGGGUAUCACUCUCCAAGGCUCUGUGGGGAUUUACCCUACCCUGCUCCAGAUAUUUUCAAUUGUCAUGUUGAAUUGUUUGUUCCCCCCCAAACAAACAAACCCUCUCAAAAUGGCUUAUGUCAUCUCAUAAUCUUCCUUUACAAUUGUCACAAUUCUCUCUGUUCUCCCUCGUAAUGCAAAAACUAAAGCAAACAAAUAAAUCUCAUCUUAAUUACACACAAGCAUGGGAGAAGCACAAAGGACCCAUUAACAUAAGCAGCAAAAAGCGCUGAUCCCAGCAAGUUUUCCCAUGGUGUGGGAUGUGGAGCAUCCGCAGGGCUGCCUUGACAAGUCUCCCUCCCUAUCCUCCUCUAUUCCCUGCAUCCCCUGGCCGUCCCUACCCUUGAUUGUUCCUGUCAUCCCAUUGGGGCCUCAGCUCUCAAGGCCACCCGCAGCUCUCACCCUUUGCUCCUGAGCAUCCCUUCCUGCAGGGUGCUCGGGAUAUAGUUGGCUGGUAGGGAGCUGGAUGCCAGUGGAGAUGCUUCCAGGUGAUAGCUGUGAUGGCUAAGUCAGGGCUUUUUGGUUUGAGACUGAAUCUCAAUUAUUUCCAAUUAGGAGAUUGCAGUGACAGCUGCUCUGAACAGGGCCCUUUUUCACAGCUAGGAAACCUGCCCACACUCUUAGCUGGGUCUGGAUACCUGCAUUUCCACUGUGGGGCUCUCAGCAGUGGUUUCUAAUAACCUCUUUUUCUUUCGCCCCUUGCUAAGCAAUUCUUCUCUCUUACACAACACCACUUCUCAUGGGGAAUUUGGUGAUAGAAUCCUCAUCUCUCCCCUACCAAAAUCUGUUCAUUUUCUCUUUUCUCUGUGCAGGGUUUCAUUUUCCUGCUGUGCUGUCCAGCUUCUCCAUUGCUCCUGCCUGCCCUGUGAUGUAUGGGCCUUUUCAGGCAGCUUUGGCCUGACCCAGCCAGCCAAAAUCAGAGGAAAAUCUGGUUUUAUAUUGCCUGGGGAGAAUUCAUCACAGAAGGGUUGCUGGUUGCUGACACUACCAUGCCUCAAUCCAUCCCAUCAGCUCUGUGUGAAGAUGAUGAUGACCCCAUCCUGUUGGUCCCCUGAAGAUCUGGCCCUCAGGUUCAUUGCCAGACCCACAAGGAUCUAAAGGCUCUGAAAGACAUCCGCAGCACCCCAUUAUUUGGGUCAUUACACCAUCCCACCAAUUAAUCCUCAUUACCACAGCUAGUAUUUACUGUUGUGAAUAAGCUCAACUGUUCACAAUAGGUAGUUGCACUUCCAACCCCAAUAAUCAGGUGGCAGAUUCAUAAAAAUCAAG
rnacentral:lncRNA from 1 species